GCACCAUUAGCUCAGUUGGUAGAGCAACUGACUCUUAAUCAGUGGGCCCUGGGUUCGAGUCCCCGAUGGUGCACCA
rnacentral:tRNA from 2 species